GAGGGUAUAGCUCAGUGGCAGAGUGCAUGCAUAGCAUGCAUGAGGUCCUGGGUACAAGCCCCAGUACCUCUG
rfam:Camelus ferus unplaced genomic scaffold scaffold105, whole genome shotgun sequence.